UCANGACGAACGCUGGCGGCAUGCUUAACACAUGCAAGUCGAACGAGAAAGCUUCUUCGGAAGUUAUUAAAGUGGCGCACGGGUGAGUAACGCGUAGACAAUCUGCCCUUCAGUCCGGGACAACUUUCCGAAAGGGGAGCUAAUACCGGAUAACAAUGUUUGACAUAAGUUGAAUAUUUGAAAGCUCCGGCGCUGAUGGAUGAGUCUGCGUCCCAUUAGCUUGUUGGUGCGGUAGUGGCGCACCAAGGCUACGAUGGGUAGCGGGUUUGAGAGGACGAUCCGCCACACUGGAACUGAGACACGGUCCAGACUCCUACGGGAGGCAGCAGUGGGGAAUAUUGCACAAUGGAGGAAACUCUGAUGCAGCAAUGCCGCGUGAGUGAAGAAGGCCCUUGGGUCGUAAAGCUCUUUUAUGGGGGAAGAUGAUGACGGUACCCCAGGAAUAAGCACCGGCUAACUACGUGCCAGCAGCCGCGGUAAUACGUAGGGUGCGAGCGUUGUUCGGAAUUACUGGGCGUAAAGGGCGCGCAGGCGGAGGUGCAAGUCGGAGGUGAAAGCCCGGGGCUCAACCCCGGAGGGUCUUUCGAAACUGCAUCUCUAGAGAGGGUCAGGGGCCGGCAGAAUUCCUGGUGUAGAGGUGAAAUUCGUAGAUAUCAGGAGGAAUACCGGUGGCGAAAGCGGCCGGCUGGGGCCACUCUGACGCUGAGGCGCGAAAGCGUGGGGAGCAAACAGGAUUAGAUACCCUGGUAGUCCACGCCGUAAACGAUGAGCACUGGACGUUCGGAGGGUUCGACCCUUCUGGGUGUUUCAGCUAACGCAUUAAGUGCUCCGCCUGGGGAGUACGGNCGCAAGACUAA
rnacentral:rRNA from 1 species